GACGUAGGUGGCAAGCGUUAUCCGGAUUUACUGGGCGUAAAGAGCGCGCAGGCGGCUUGAUAAGUCGGAUGUGAAAUCUUUCGGCUUAACUGGAAGAAGCCAUUCGAUACUGCCAGGCUAGAGUGCAACAGAGGGAGAUGGAAUUCCCGGUGUAGUGGUGAAAUGCGUAGAUAUCGGGAGGAACACCAGUGGCGAAGGCGGUCUCCUAGGUUGUUACUGACGCUGAGGCGCGAAAGUGUGGGGAG
rnacentral:rRNA from 1 species